GGAGAGAGGACGGGAGCAGAUGGUCAGGGCUGCCAUGGGCACUGGACCCUCUCUUUCCUCAGUUACCAGAUCCUCAGUGAGGAAAAUGGGUUUUUCUCACUGAAGAACGUCUGCACUGCUUUGCGUAAGGCCUUGCCCGCCGCUGCCACGCAGUAGUGGUCAAGGGACUGACCCGGUGGCCUCCCCCUCCCCUUUAAGGCAGCUCCAGUGGAGGAGCUGCCCCCUGGGCGGACCCCGAGCUCUCUGCCUUCGUUCAUACUUAUGCCCCACGUCCUGCUCUGUGCGACAGUUGUGCGGGGGGAACGUGUGAGUCAGAGGCUGGGCCUGGCCCAGGGGCUGGAGCUGGGAUUUGAAUUAGAAAGUGCUACAUGCAGGAGGAGAGGGCUCAGUCGCCUCCUUGUUGCUGGGAGGUGUCCAGCACCAGUUUGAAGGGGAGGGCUUAUCUCAACGCAGGCUAUGGUCCAUGGUCGGCCAGCUCCGAGGCAGAGAUGGUGAAGCGGGAGGGCUGGCGGAGGAGCCUGCUUACACCACGCUGCACAGGGAGCAGGGAGGCAGGGAGGAGCGGAGGGAGCUCACUCUUCCGGUCCCACGCCGGUGACCGCCUCCACCCGGGCUCUCUCCCCUGACAGCACACUCGUGCUCUCCUCGUGAGUGGGUCCCUGCCCUGAUGGGCAGUCGCUCCCACCGGCCCUGCCACUGAGCACUGGAGGCGGGGCCACCAGCGCCACCUAGGGGCUGAGCCGUAGCAGAAGGAGCAGAAGGGCUGGGAGCCCAGGGCCCUGUCCACGGGGACACCAGAAAGGCUCUGGGGAGGAGGUGGGGCUGCGGGAGAGUGGGCUGGCCCGGAGCCCUCAGCACGUGUGUGCCAGUGAAUGGGAAGUGGCUGGCGGUGGCCAAGGCUGCUGUGUCCCCGAGGUGAGCAAGAGGAAGGAGGCCAGGCGAGGAGGGUGACCCCAAGCACACAGCUUGGGUGUAGGGAGUGAGUUCAGCUCCAGGCCGCCUUGUUGGCAGACUGAGUGCCAGGCAUGGCAGUGAGGACCCCUGUCUGCUUCGUCCGCCUCCACCGCGCCAUCACACACGGGCACAGAGCCGUGCUUGCAUUUCAGGCCCUUCACCAGGCACGUGUCCUGCAGCUCUCUCUGUCCCUGUCUCCUGUUUUGCUUCUUCAUGAGGCCAAAGUCAGUGUCCACGGGAGCAGGCAGCACCAGGUCCUCUGAGCAGAUGCGUGGAGAGUGUCACGGGCACCGGGACCUCUCACCAGGAGCACCGGGACCCAGUGUGGCGUCCCUGUGAGCACCAGAGUCCACUGCAGCGUCGCCUCAGGGGCGGUGACCCGUGACUGGUGACUGCCAGUCAGCACCGGGCCCAGCAUAGUGACCUUCUCCUCUGAAGCUCUCCGUUUUGACUCUGCAGACUUUGCAGCAUAGGAACAGAGCUGACGCGACUGGGUAAAUGGGAUCAGGUCUUCCCUGUUCUGUGUCCAGUCUCCACCGUGCAGGGACGGGGGCCGUGUCACCUGGAGUAGCCCCGGCAGCCCUGUGCAGGUCAAACCUGGGCUGCAGUGAGGGCAGCUGGAGCCUGUCCUGAGGACGCCCCUGGCUCGGCACGGCACUUUGGGGCUCCUCCAAGCCAGCCUGGCUGCAGGUGGGAUCCCUGAGGAUGAAGGAAGGGUCGCAGUGAGGGAUCUGGAGUGAGGCGUGGGGCAGGUGCCUGUCUUUAAUGUCCCUGGUCGCCCCUGUGGUGGUCAGGUUUGAAGCAGGUUCUGUCUCACUAGAGCCUUGCAGGGGCCAAGCCCUAGACCAUCCCUGGCUUCCCGGCGAGCACUGUUGAGGUGAUCUCCAGUGAGGCCCCACGGCUGCCCCUCUCCUCCCGGGGUCUGGUAUCGGCUGUGAACAGCUUAUGCUGGGAUAUGGCUGCUGGUGUUCCGUCCCAAGCGGACUCCCUUUCUAUGUUUUGAUGAGUUCUGGAGGCUUUUUGCAAAGAAGAAGUAAAUUCUGGCCUGUUCUGUUGCCUUUUUGCCACUAUAACCAAAAUACCUGACCCUCAUAAGAUAGAGGAGGAGAGGUUUAAUGCAGCUCAUGGUUUGAGAGGAUUUAGUCCAUGGUUGGCUGCUCCAGGGCAGAAGGAUCAUGGUGGGAGGGUGUUGGGGGAGCAGAGCUGCUCAGUUCAUGGUGGCUGGGAGGUAGAGCAUACGGACAGUGUCAGAGAGCAAGGGGUCAGGUACCACUUACAGGACCCCAGGCCACACCUCCACGACCCACACACCUAGGAGUGUGCUCCACCGGGCCUUGGGUGGAUCCCAAAGCCAAUGGAGCUGACAAUGAAGCUUAAACAUCACACCUCUAAUCUGAACAAAAAUAACACAGAAUUUCUUACCUAUGAAAUAGGACUAUAAUAAAAGAAAAUGUGGGGCUAACUAAUGUAACGAUUAACAUUUGCUAAGUACUUGCCAUGUGGCAUGUGCUGUGCCAAGGGUGUGUGGAUGUGCAUUUAUAUACACAAAGAUACAAGGGCUGAACAAAAUGCACGAUGAGUAUCUGAAUUAAACAUUAUUACAGUAAAGAGACACUGACGUUAACCCCCUCUAAUAGUCCCUUUCACUUUGACACACUUAUCCCAUUGUUCUUGCCACUUUCUGAAGCAGUUCUGGAGCCCUCUUUCAUGAGGCUCUUUAUGAGGUCUGAUAAAAAACACCGGACCAAAUGCUGCUGCCAAGUGCCCUUCAAUGGAAAGGCAGCUCAUAAAAACAUGACGCUGUGUCCCACCACCUUAUUCACUGCAUCUGGCCCUGUGAGACUUCUGGCUCUUCCCCAAAGUCAAAAUGACCUUGAAAGCGAGACAUUCUGAAUCGAUUCAGGACAUCAAGGCAGCUACAACAAAGCAACUAAAAAUACUCAGAAAAGAGGACUUCCAGAACUGCUUCAGAAAGUGGCGAGAAGGACGGGAUAAGUAUUUAUAGGUGAGGGAGGAUUUUGAGGCAAUGAGUCCUUUACUGUAAUACAUUAAAAGAAUGUAAAGAUCCAGGGUAAUUUCCGGCCACACCUUGUAGCACAGUGCUUAGCUGUGGUCACUACACUGCAGGGGCCAUGGUCUAGUGGGCGGUCCAUGAGCAACGGCGGCAGCUGCUCACAGAGGCCCACACUGUGCUGGGUGGACACCAGUGGUGGCAGGGCAGGGGCUGUGAGCCUGUGUUGUCUGGGGUUAAAUCCUAGCCCUCAGACUUUUGAAUCGAGGAUGCUGGGGUGCAGCCCAGGCUCUCACACGUGUGAGGCCAGUGCUCUACCCCGAGCUGCAUCCCCAGCCCACUCUUAGACUUGGUUUUCUCCACUGUAACAUGGGGACAAGAGACACACCUAGAUCCCUGGUUGUUGUGAGGAUUGAAUAAGCGAUUGUACAGAAUAUAUAAAUACAAUGUUUUUAUGUGAAAAUGUAAUUAUACAAACAAAUAACAAAGCAUGGCAGAAAGCAGUUGUUGAAUGAGAAGUUAUCUUCACAAGGUUGCAAUAGGGCGCUGCUACAGUUCCCACGUCAGCGGUGUGCAGUGAUUCUGGGACAAUAACAGAGUAGCAGGGCAGAGGCCCCUGCUGGGUGGGGUGCCUGGGUCUCAGGCCCUCCAUCCUCACCCAGGAGGCAGAGGCAGAGGGGUCACUGCUGCUGGGAGUGGGAGCCCAAGGACCCUGAGUCUGACUUAGCAGCCGGGUGCUGCGGGCGCAGGAGCGGUGCUGGAGCUGGAGGAGCCCUCACUUCUCUUUUGUAGGGUGGGACGCGCUGUCCUUGACUCCCAGCCAGACGAGUGCAGGGCUCCAGGACUGGCCAGAGCUUCCUGGGGCGGCCAUGUCUGCAGUGGCUCUUCCUGCCCGAUGGAUGGCUGUGGAAGGAAUGGCCUGCAUGUCAAUCCACCUUUCGGGGCCGCGCCUCUGCCAAGAGAGGCUUGAAAGACGGCCAGCCCUGUAAAUCCAGAGACGCUGCUGAUGCAGGGCUGGCUGUCCUUGGGCCUGGAGAACAGGACGCUGGGCUGGGUGGAAGGGGCCAUGACCUUUGGUGCUCUCCUCCCCUUGAGCAGGUCCUCCUUAGGGUUGCCUUUUCCUGUCAUCGAAGCCCUGGGGGCGAUGGGGUACCCCAAGUUCCCUUGGAACAGAGCGGGCCAGCAGGGGAAGGACCUGUGAUGCUGCUGCUCCCAUUGCCUGGGGUCCCCCACCCUCAGGCCCCCCUGUGAUAGGCACCUUUGCCCGGGCCUGGGGAAGGGGCUCGUCAGGGGCUUGUGGUGCUGGGCCCUGGUCUUUAGCGGUGCGGCACCCAGGACAUCACCACGGCAUCCAAGGUCUGGGUCCAGGGCUCUCUGCAGGCCUCCGAGUCCCCCGCGCAUGUGGUCACUUCUGGUGUCACAGAGCAGCUCUGCCACCAAACCUGGCCUGCGGCACAGCAGUGCGGCUCUGAAGUCAGAGACUGGACAGAGGCCCUGGGGUGACAGCGCCCUUCCCGAGUCCCUGAUCUGCUCUGGACUCGGAAGGGCUGAAGAGCCAGGAGAGGCCCGGGCUGCGGUCACCCGGGCCAUCGGAGGCCUCUGCCGCCUGGGCCCAGAGACAGGAGAGAUGAAGUGCUCUGCUCCCGAGGCACUGUCCAGCAAGGACCCGGGCAGGGACCUGUGGCCAGGCUGUGUGAGGGGCUGAGGGGGAGCAGCUGUGGGCAGUGGCCUGCUUGGGUCAGAGAGGCCGAGCUGGGAGUGAGGUCCCGGUGGACAGAGGGCAGUGCGGGCAGGAAGGCCACUCAGGUGGAGGGUGGAUGUGUGGCCCUGUGACCCUGAGACGUCGGCCAGUGAGGGGCUGGUGCCUUCCCUGGACAGUGGCCCCAAGUUCAGGGUUUGGGGGGCCGGGGAGGGGAAGGCCCCGCCCAAGAGAUGGGACAGGAGGGCAGGUCAGGCUGGGGGUCCCCCGAGCCGGCUGACGGGUGAGAGGAUCUGGCCUUGGGCCUGUGUGGAGUCGGGCACAGAGCCCCGUCCAGUCCACCUUCCCCAGGGACAGGGCCCUGCCAGCCUUUGCAAAGCUGAGCGCUGGCUUCUGAAGCUCAGCGUCAGCCACUGCCACUGUCGCGGGGGGCCGGCCCCCCCAGGGACCUGCCAGGCCUCUUCCCAGCUGCGGCAGCGUGGCUCUGUUCUGGGAGGUGACCAUGUGGGUCUCACCGAGGAGGAGAAUGCACUCACGGGGCAGGAGAGGUGUCCGUGGGGGCCUGGUGUGAACGGCCGGCUGGGCUGCUGUCCACCCAGAGCCGCUGUCGGAGAGAAAACGAGGGACAUUGCCCGUGUGGCUUGAUGUCACCGCAGACCUCAGGCUGGACGGGGUGGCUCUGCCCUCCUGCAGGGCCCUUCCCCGCCUGCGCAGCCCCAGCCUCUCCCGACCCCGCUGGGCCAGGGCGCAGGGCCAGGCAGGGUGCAGGAGACAUUACUCUCUCCCUAACCCCGUCAGAGUCCCUGUGGACAGUGUCAUAGAAGGUCAGGGAGCACUGGGGCAGUGCCCACACCCCACUCUGCAGCCCGAGCCCUUUCUCAGGGCCUCCGAGAACCCGAAGGAGGAGGGCUGAUGUGUGAAGCUCUGUGUCCCCCCCACCUUUGGGGUUCCCACUCCCCGGGGCCCUGCAUAGCUCCAGGCUCUGGUGAGAAAUCUCCACAUUGUGCCUCACAGCCGGGGUUCGCAGCUGAGGGUCUGACGCAGACCGCAGGCUUAGAGGGUGGCGGUGCAGCUGGAGGGCCCCCUGGGGUCUCCCCUCUGCCCUCCCUGCGGAGCCCAGGCUCUGUGGGGGCAGCGCGGCCCGUUGCUCUCUGGGUGAGGAACUGGGGCAUGGGGGUUGUAAUCAGGGUGGCAGAGCCUUCCCGUGCCAGUGGGGUCCCCAGUGGUCUGAAAGACAAGGCCGCUGGGGGCCUCCAGCAGUGGCUCCCAUUCUCCCUGUUCGGUUUGGCUGAAGAGCUCGUUGUGCAGCCCCAGUUAGAGCAACUCAGUCGGAUUGCUCGCCUCCCUCUGGACUGACUGAGGUGUGGACUGGUGCCUGGAUCAGCGGCACAGAGGCCUCCCGUCUUCCUUCGCUCUCAAACACAGUCAGGUGAGCAGCCUGGGAAACAGAAACCAAAGAGAGGAGGUGGCCGGGGUAAAGCUUGCGACCCCAGCACAGCGCGCUAACUCUAACCCUAACCCUAACCCUUGCUGCCAACCGCGUGGCCUGACGCCCGCUCUCCACGCGAGGGGCUCCGUGGAGGGCUGUGGGGUUCACUGCAGGAACGGGAGUCAGGGGCACCGAGGCCGCCUCGCCCUUGGCUGUGGUUGUGCUCCUGCCUGGUGCUGUGUAAAACGCUCUGCAAAGCACAAGUCCUAGCUUGGAGUCCUCUAAAGAUUUGCGCUGGGAAGCUCUGGCUCCUCCUGCAGUUCCAACUCUGGAUGAGGGGAUAAAGGAUCUGCAGGAGGAGCCCGUGUUAUUUAAGUCGAAAAUACCAAGAAAGGCCACGAAUGCACCGGAUCCUUCAAGGCCUCUCAGCUCCUGGGAAAGUCCGUCGGGGCCCAGACCUGCCAGGGCCCGUGUCCCCAGCCGUUGCCUGGCAGGUGGCUGAAGGAGUUAGGAUGCUCGUGAAUCCCGUGUCCCUCCUGCACGUGGUCCCAGCGGGGGUCAGAGGUCAGAGUGGCCCCAUCCCAGGCUUGGGCCCAUGUCUGGCCACGGCUCCAUCUGCUCUCCUUCUGGAGCUCUGACAGCACCGUGCCAGGCUGCCUGCGCCUUCUAGGUCACUCCCUGCCACCCUAGGACGGCCAGGUCCCGCAGGUGUCAGCUGGGGCUGAGCCAGGCUGUGUGGCAUCCCUUUUCCCAUCACUCUCUGGUCCGGUGUGGCCGUGCUGUCCCGGGGGAGGAGGUGGCGAGUGACCCUCCACAUGGCCUCGACACUGACUUCCCAAGGAGCCCGAGGAGGGGACCCCUGGAACCACACCCCACCAAGCUCUACUUUGCCAGCGGAGAGAGCCGCCUUCGUCGCUCGGGGUUGAUAUCUCUGUUCAGAGACGAAUGAUCAGAAAACUCACAAUGUCCAGGACUGUCCUGAGACAGGGACAUCCAUCUCACAAACUCAAGGAGAUAAAAUGAUGCUUGUGACUCUGAAUUAGACUGAAUGUGAGUUAGAGAGGACUCGAGGUGAAAUUUGUCCUUUCCCGUGGAAAGAGCCAAGCGCCGAGAGGGACAGCAGAUGUGGGCUGGUGGCUCUGGCAGUGGCAUGGGGCAGGCUCUCUGCACGGAGAGGGAAGAGGUAGCAGUCGCCCCAGCAGGCCCUGCCUCUCCCAUCUGCCAUCGGCCACUGGGGGCCAUGGACACCAACACCUUCCAGUUACUCCUCCCCCGGGACAUGGCCACCGGAGCUUCAGGGCUGUGUCCCAUCCCGUGGUCCCGUGCUCCUCCCUCUCCUCUGCCUCCUGGCCGCCUUGACGUGAGCUGCUCUCCUCCACCUCACCCUUUGGCCUUGCAGCCUCUGCUUGGAGCUGGCUGACCAGGGACUGAAACCAUGAGCCCAAAUCAGCCUCUGCUCCUUUCAGGUGUGGAUGUCGAGUCUUCUGAUUCAGCAACCAGAAGAGGUGGGGAGCAUGCCUGCCUGAGCAGGUCCUGGAGGAAAGGCUUUCUCAACAUUCUCAACAGAUCAAAAACUGUCUUAUUCUAGGAAAAAGCAAUUUUUAUCCAAAGAUAGAUAAAACAAUUGAAAUAAAUGAAAAACAACCCACUUCUCUUUAUCUCAUUGAGAUGUAGUUUCUUUUUUCAAAAUUGCAUUUAUGUUAAUGCUUAUUUAGCAAAAAGUUAAUAUAUUCAUGUUAUUUUGAUCAAUUGUAUGUUAAUAAUUACAAUGAUAACUCAAUUCAGAAAAAUGUAAAUAUUUAACUCCAGUAGUUAUGAAACAUUUAAAAUAGCUUUAAUAUUAUGUGUGUUUUAUUACAAAGAGGUGAUAAAAUGAUCAAUAAAGACUUUUGUGCAAAUAAAAUAUUACAUUAGGAUGAAAUCUUGUGGGGAAGUAAAAAGAGAUUAAAGUCAAGGCAA